CCUACGGGUGGCAGCAGUGAGGAAUAUUGGUCAAUGGGCGCGAGCCUGAACCAGCCAAGUAGCGUGAAGGAUGACUGCCCUACGGGUUGUAAACUUCUUUUAUAAAGGAAUAAAGUGAGGCACGUGUGCCUUUUUGUAUGUACUUUAUGAAUAAAGCUCGGCUAAAUCCGUGCCAGCAGCCGCGGUAAUAAGGAGGGUCCGAGCGUUAUCCGGAUUUUAUUGGUUUAAAGGGAGCGUAGAGGGGUUGGUAAGGCAGUUGUGAAAGUUUGAGGCUCAACCGUAAAAGUGCAAUUGAUACUGGCAGUCUUGAGUACAGUUGAGGUAGGCGGAAUUCGUGGUGUAGCGGUGAAAUGCUUAGAUAUCACGAAGAACUCCGAUUGCGAAGGCAGCUUACUAAACUGCCACUGACAUUGAUGCUCGAAAGUGUGGGUAUCAAACAGGAUUAGAUACCCCAGUAGUC
rnacentral:rRNA from 1 species